GUUUCUUCUUCUCUUUUUUU
rnacentral:sRNA from 1 species